GUGCUCGCUUUGGCAGCACAUAUACUAAAAUUGGAAUGAUACAGAGAAGAUUAGCAUGGCCCCGGCGCAAGAAUGACACGCAAAAAAACACGCUUUGUGAUCACAUUUA